rnacentral:tRNA from 1 species
AAUAAAUUGGCAGAAAAUUGCAUUAGAAUUAGAAUCUAAUUAAUCUUACAUUUCCAACAUAUUUAAUU